GUGAGAACAGAGAACAGGGACCUUCAGCCCAGAAAACAGCAGAGAGGGCAUACAACAUUUUGGGGGAAAGGACAAGUCUUCCAUUUCAAAGAUUUGCCUCUUCAUAGACAAGGGCUAUGAGAAUGACAGUCCCCAGUGCCACUCUGGCCCUCAUCCUCCUUCAUGCAAAUACAGGGGAGAUAGUAGUACUGCCUAUGUCAAAGGGACGAUGUGAUGACUGAGACAUCCGUGUAAAGUAUUUGGAAUGCACCCUGGCACAUGAUUACAAUUUCAGCUUUACAGACGAGUAAACAGGUGAAGAGAGGCCCCUGGCUACUAUCUACAAGUUCCAGCCACCUGGGAAAUGACAAAAGAGCCUUCAGAAAAGGGCAGCGGCCUUGUGUCAUCUGGGAGCAAAUGAAAGAACAUCAGCUAUAAUGGAAGUAACCAAAGAUCAUUUAGAGCAAGGAUCAGAAUAAUAACAAUAAUGCCUCACAAGUGUUCAGCCCUUUACGGUUCACAACCAAGUGCCCCAGGUUUAUCAAUGAUCCAAAUCCUGGGAGGCUGGGCGUGGUGGCUCACGCCCUAAUCCCAGGCUGGGCGUGGACAAGAUAGGUGGAUCACCUAACGUCAGGAGUUUAUGACCAGCCUGGCCAAUACGGUGAAACCCCGUCUCUACUAAAAAUACAAAAUUAGCCGGGCAUGGUGGUGCAUGCCUGUAAUCCCAGCUACUUGGGAGGCUGAGGCAGGAGAAUUGCUUGAACCUCGGAGGCAGAGGUUACAGUGAGCCAAGAUUGUGCCAUUGCACUCCAGCCUGAGCAACAAGAGCAAAACUCUAUCUCAAAAAAUAAAAUAGACAAAGACCCAGAGACAUAAAGCUAUUUGUCCAAGGUCACACAUCUAUUAUGAUACAGAUCCAUGCCUGGCAUGGUGGCUCACACCUGUAAUCCCAGCACUUUGGGAGGCUGAGGCAGGCAGAUCAUUUGAGGUCAGGGCUUUGAGACCAGCCUGGCUAACAUGGUGAAACCCCAUCUCUACUAAAAAUAUACUAAAAAUACAAAAAUUAGCUGGGCGUGGUGGCGGGCGCCUGUAAUCCCAGUUACACAGGAGGUUGAGGCAGGAGAAUCACUUGAACCUAGGAGGCAGAGGAUGCAGCAGCGAGCCAAUAAAAUAAAAUUAAAAAAUUUAAAAAGAAGCAUAUCCAGGACUUAAGUCAGAUUUGUUUCUUUUUUUCUAUUUAUUUUUUUUUUUAAAGAAAACUUUAAUUUACUUUUUUUUUUUUUUUUUUAGAGAGAGGGUCUCGCUACG